CCUGGGCAAGCACCUCCAGAUCUCACAGCUCAACUGGACAAAAAACAUCCUUUCUUCAGAGCAAAAAAAAGCCAGGAGACAGGACCAGCAUCAAACAGAGAGUUAUUUGUGUUUGCUCUGGAAGGAAAGGCACCAUGAACGUGCAGUUUCCCGUGCCAUAAGGGCAGCGAGCAUCUCUAGCCGGGCAGAUGCCACGCUCCAGCCAGCAGACCUGCGAGAGGCUUUAUCACAGCGAGCACAGCUCAUUCCCGUGCUACACAACUGGCCAUACGUGGCUGUCCCAGAGCAGAGCCAGAUGUUCUUCAAGCAGAAGAAAUGAGGCAAGGCAGAUGUUGGCAACCUCGACGGCGCGGGAGUCCAAUUCUCUUUUUCCAUUCGCUUGAGACAAAAGAGGAAAUCAGUGUUGGAUUACAUCUCCGCAUGUGAACCGUGGAGGGGGUGAACAGAGUGUAUCAGGUCCUCAGCUAAUGCGAACCAGCGUACGCUCUCUGGUUUGCAGCACGCAAAAUGGAGGUGUCCAGUUUGUCCCUGUGCAUCUUCAUCCUGGCACAGACAUCAGAUGGUGUUUUAUGGACAGCGGUCUUCUCGCUCCGUGUCUCAAAACCUUGAGAGCCAGGAGCCAGCCCAGCCAUCAGCUCCUCCAACCGCAAAACCCACCAAGACGACCUAAGGCAUCUUCCUUCUCAUCCAGGCAUGUGAACAAAGCUAUUUUUGCCCACCAUUACCUGCCCAAGACACCAGUGGGAUCCCAGCUUCCAACAACCACACAUCAGGCUCAGCAGGUCUCCAAUGGAGGUAAUCGAUAAAAUUCAGCAGCUGGAGCACUGCUGGGAAGGGAGGAUAGGACAGAAGACUCCUGCCAACAUUAUGGAGCCGGGCUACACCGCAUUUCAUGUGAGGAUUUGUAAUUGCCUCUCACAAGGGACUGAAAAGCGAGAAAUGGGCUCCGGUGAGCAAAUGAUUGCACAACAUCUUCUCCAUCUGAUUUCUUGCAUUUGCAGAACAUCUAUCUACUGUCCUGGG